CUUUUCCAAAGCAUUAAAAUUCUAGCAUGGCACUACUUAAGCUUAGUGUUGUCCUAGCUAUCUUUCUCCUGGCGUCCACAAUUAAUUCAAAUACGCAACUCGUGGCUGCACGGGAUGUUGAUCGUGAUCUCACAGAAGUUAAGAGACGACUACUCCCACAACUUAAUACUUGCUUUAGAGCUUGUACUUCAAUUGAUGAAUGCCGUGUCGAUUGUUGGACUUGUUGUAUCUGCACAUCGAUUUUGGGUUCCUCUAAAUUCUGUUACAUGUGAUAAUAUGGCCAAUAUAUUGCAACGAACUCUUGCUACAGGAACAAUAAAUUUGAAUAAAAAGGCUGCAGGCCUUGCUGGCUUUUCAAUUUAGUACUUGAAUAAUGUGUGAUAUUUAUUUAUGAAUGUACCGCAUGUGGAAUCUAUUAUCUAGGUUCCUUUGUCUUGUUUGUACCAGUAAUAAUAUUUAUAAUUCUGCA